rnacentral:rRNA from 1 species
GACGAACGCUGGCGGCGUGCCUAAUACAUGCAAGUAGAACGCUGAAGGAGGAGCUUGCUCUUCUGGAUGAGUUGCGAACGGGUGAGUAACGCGUAGGUAACCUGCCUGGUAGCGGGGGAUAACUAUUGGAAACGAUAGCUAAUACCGCAUAACAGUAGAUGUUGCAUGACAUUUACUUAAAAGGUGCAAUUGCAUCACUACCAGAUGGACCUGCGUUGUAUUAGCUAGUUGGUGGGGUAACGGCUCACCAAGGCGACGAUACAUAGCCGACCUGAGAGGGUGAUCGGCCACACUGGGACUGAGACACGGCCCAGACUCCUACGGGAGGCAGCAGUAGGGAAUCUUCGGCAAUGGACGGAAGUCUGACCGAGCAACGCCGCGUGAAUGAAGAAGGUUUUCGGAUCGUAAAGCUCUGUUGUAAGAGAAGAACGAGUGUGAGAGUGGAAAGUUCACACUGUGACGGUAUCUUACCAGAAAGGGACGGCUAACUACGUG